rnacentral:rRNA from 1 species
CGCCGCGGUUAUACGGGGGGCCCAAGUUGAUAAACAUCGGCGUAAAGCGUGGUUACGGGCUCCCCCACACUAAAGUCAAACACCCCUCCUGCUGUUAUACGCUUACAGGGGCAGGAAGCUCCACCACGAAAGUGACUUUAACAUCUCUCCCGAACCCACCACAGCUAGGGCA